CCUACGGGUGGCAGCAGUGAGGAAUAUUGGUCAAUGGACGAGAGUCUGAACCAGCCAAGUAGCGUGAAGGAUGACUGCCCUAUGGGUUGUAAACUUCUUUUAUAUGGGAAUAAAAUGUUCCACGUGUGGGAUUUUGUAUGUACCAUAUGAAUAAGGAUCGGCUAACUCCGUGCCAGCAGCCGCGGUAAUACGGAGGAUCCGAGCGUUAUCCGGAUUUAUUGGGUUUAAAGGGAGCGUAGGUGGAUUGUUAAGUCAGUUGUGAAAGUUUGCGGCUCAACCGUAAAAUUGCAGUUGAUACUGGCAGUCUUGAGUACAGUAGAGGUGGGCGGAAUUCGUGGUGUAGCGGUGAAAUGCUUAGAGAUCACGAAGAACUCCGAUUGCGAAGGCAGUUCACUGGACUGCAACUGACACUGAGGCUCGAAAGUGUGGGUAUCAAACAGGAUUAGAUACCCGUGUAGUC
rnacentral:rRNA from 1 species